GACGAACGCUGGCGGCGUGCUUAACACAUGCAAGUCGAACGAAGUGGCGGACGGGUGAGUAACGCGUGUCAACCUGCCCUUCGGAGGGGGACAACAGUGGAAAACGACUGCUAAUACCCCAUACGGAAGAAGGGGAUGGCGGGUGAUUGGCUAGCCGGGGGGGUAACGGCCCACCAAGGCGAGGAUCAGUCGCUGGUCUGAGAGGAUGAACGGCCACACUGGAACUGAGACACGGCCCAGACUCCUACGGGAGGCAGCAGUGGGGAAUAUUGCACAAUGGGCGCAAGCCUGAUGCAGCCAUGCCGCGUGUAUGAAGAAGGCCUUCGGGUUGUAAAGUACUUUCAGCGGGGAGGCGUUACUCGCAGAAGAAGCACCGGCUAACUCCGGCCAGCAGCCGCGGUAAUUC
rnacentral:rRNA from 1 species